AUUGAACGCUGGCGGCAGGCUUAACACAUGCAAGUCGAGCGAGCGGCGGACGGGUGAGUAAUGUCUGGGAAACUGCCUGAUGGAGGGGGAUAACUACUGGAAACGGUAGCUAAUACCGCAUACCAUCAGAUGUGCCCAGAUGGGCUUAGCUAGUAGGUGGGGUAAUGGAUCACCUAGGCGACGAUCCCUAGCUGGUCUGAGAGGAUGACCAGCGACACUGGAACUGGGACACGGUCCAGACGCCUACGCUAGGCAGCAGUGGGGAAUAUUGCACAAUGGGCGCAAGCCUGAUGCAGACAUGCCGCGUGUGUGAAGAAGGCCUUCGGGUUGUAAAGCACUUUCAGCGAGGGGGCGUUACUCGCAGAAGAAGCACCGGCUAACUCCGUGCCAGCAGCCGCGGUAAUUC
rnacentral:rRNA from 1 species